UACGUAGGUGGCGAGCGUUAUUCGGAUUUAUUGGGCGUAAAGGGUUCGUAGGGGGUUGGAUAAGUUUGAUGUGAAAGCCCGUGGCUCAACCACGGAACUGCAUUGGAUACUGUCCGACUUGAGGUUCAGAGAGGAAAGCAGAAUUCCCGGUGUAGCGGUGGAAUGCGUAGAUAUCGGGAGGAAUACCGACAGCGAAGGCAGCUUUCUGGCUGACACCUGACCCUGAGGAACGAAAGCCUGGGGAGCAAACAGG
rnacentral:rRNA from 1 species